rnacentral:rRNA from 1 species
GCCAGACUCCUACGGGAGGCAGCAGUGGGGGAUAUUGCACAAUGGGGGAAACCCUGAUGCAGCGACGCCGCGUGUGGGAAGACGGUCUUCUGGAUUGUAAACCACUGUCCCCAGGGACGAAAAUGACGGUACCUGGGGAGGAAGCUCCGGCUAACUACGUGCCAGCAGCCGCGGUAAUACGUAGGGGGCAAGCGUUAUCCGGAUUUACUGGGUGUAAAGGGAGCGUAGACGGCAGUGCAAGUCUGGAGUGAAAGGCGGGGGCUCAACCCCCGGACUGCUCUGGAAACUGUACGGCUGGAGUGCAGGAGAGGCAGGUGGAAUUCCUAGUGUAGCGGUGAAAUGCGUAGAUAUUAGGAGGAACACCGGUGGCGAAGGCGGCCUGCCGGACUGUGACUGACGUUGAGGCCCGAAGGCGUGGGGAGCAAACAGGAUUAGAUACCCCUGUA